rnacentral:RNase_P_RNA from 1 species
GUUCUUUGCCGGAUAGUCGCUUUGUCUGCUAAUCGGCGGAUGGGGAGGAAAGUCCGAACACCGCCAAUUUUGCUUGCAAAAUUGAGCACUCCGACCUUGCGUCGGAGCUAUCCCGACGUAAAGUCGGGAUGCUCAAAAUUGCAACCAAGCUUUGCUUGGGCAAUUUUGGCAGAGGCAGUGGUUAACGGCCACACUUCUCCGACCUUAGGUCGGAGGGGAUGGAUAUCCCGAUUUUGUUUACAAAAUCGUGGACUCGCGACUUCAUUAUUGAAUUUCAAUAGUGCGUCGGAGGUGUCACAGAAACAAUACCGCGACAUCAUCGAUUUUGGCCUAAAGCCAAAAAAGCUGGUACGUAAGGGUGAAAAGAGGUGAGGUAAAAGCUCACAGCGCAUAUUGGCGACAAUGUGCGGUGAAAAACACCUGCCCGGUGCAACCUCGUUUACGGGGGCUAGAGCUCUCGGCGCAAGCCGGAGCCCAGAUAGAUGACUAUUGCUCCGACCCUGCGUCGGAGUACAAAAUUCGGCUUAUAGGCAGAGAACAAUA